rnacentral:rRNA from 1 species
GACGAACGCUGGCGGCGUGCUUAACACAUGCAAGUCGAGCGGAAAGGCCCUUCGGGGUACUCGAGCGGCGAACGGGUGAGUAACACGUGAGUAACCUGCCCUAGGCUUUGGGAUAACCCCGGGAAACCGGGGCUAAUACCGGAUAUGACCUGGUGCCGCAUGGUGUUGGGUGGAAAGUUUUUUCGGCCUGGGAUGGGCUCGCGGCCUAUCAGCUUGUUGGUGGGGUGAUGGCCUACCAAGGCGAUGACGGGUAGCCGGCCUGAGAGGGCGACCGGCCACACUGGGACUGAGACACGGCGCAGACUCCUAUGGGAGGCAGCAGUGGGGAAUAUUGCACAAUGGGCGGAAGCCUGAUGCAGCGACGCCGUGUGAGGGAUGAAGGCCUUCGGGUUGUAAACCUCUUUCAGCAGGGACGAAGCGUGAGUGACGGUACCUGCAGAAGAAGCGCCGGCCAACUACGUG